CACCUAUUUAUAGGCACGGGGUACAACCCAUACAAAAUUACAUACAUGUCCUUUACAUUUGGUGAUAAUUCUAUAGCACUCUAUCGAGGUCUAAAUGGCCUUUUCAUCUUUAAGUCGGUUCCCUUUUCUGCGAACAUGUCGAAGCUUUCCUGCUUCACAGCUUCGGCGCUGUGUCAACCUUUGUAGCUUUUCCCUUUCUGAUACGAGUCCGAAGAUACCUGCUCACACAUUUUAAGCCGCUUCUCCCUUGAAGACCUUCGGCGACGAAGCAUAGACCCAACAGAUACAUCGCUGGCUUGGAACCCCUGGGUGGCCUGUUUGUGUUUGUGCGUCCUGUAUAUGUAUGUACACAACGAGCAGCCCUUUUUUGGGUGAUGUGCCGAGUUCCUAGCCAUGUAGCAGCGUGGAUCUGGAUGAGGAGGACAAGGCCAUGAGCAGGACUGCGGCCUCCUCCACUCCCAUCAGGACCCUCCGUUUCUUCACCACUUGGAGCCUGCUGCUUUUGGUGUUGUCUCUGACAGCGACUGCACUUGUUGCCGGACAGUGAUCCUCUUGCUGCUGCUGCUGCUGUGGCGGCGGCGGCCGCUGGUUUUGUUGUGGUUUCUUGGCGCUAUCGAGACCUAGCUCUUGCCUCCGCUUCUUCCUGUACCGGAUCCCACACGCGUUGCAGAGCGACUGCAACCAAACCAAAUUAACAAGAUUGCUCAUCCAAAACGCUGGUUUUUCUAAGUUAGUUUCUGGUUGAUUGCUUGCUCUGUUGAUCCUAAUACUGGAUAGGAACAAACAGCUGUGAUGGAGACAUGUAUGCAUGGAUGUCCCUAAACAAUAGGCUGGAGCAAUAAUAAGAUAUAUAUAA